UAAGAUAAAGGAAAGAACAUGCAUAUGCAAAUAUGCAACACCAAUAGUGGAUAUGCCAAACAAAGGAAAGACGAGAUAACAUGUGGCAUAAUAAAAGUAAAAACUCAAUAACUUAAAAACAAUAGAGACUUAUAGAGAGGGGGGAGAAUUAGAGAACAUGAUAGAUUUCACUUUCUCGUUAGAAAGCAUUACUUAAUGAUCUCACAAACACGAAUUCUUUGUUGCAUAGACAUUUUAUAAGUUCAAAUAAUAUAAGUAUUUUGCAAAUGCUCUUUGAAAAUUUAAAAGUUUUUCCUACCUUAGUGCAUGUUUCGUUGGCACUUACUGAGUUAGCAAAAACGUAUAACAAUUUCAGUUGGCAGGGAGGUUCUGUUUUGCAGACAAAGUUAAUGAUUUUACAUUGCAACACUGAUGAAAGGAAUUGAAAGAGCUCAAAUGGAGUGUAGAGUAUGUUGUGCUAUCUACAUUUUGGUCAACUUCUGGUGUGUGUAAAAAGCGUCUGAGGGGCUUUAUGACAGUUAGAAAGGGGUAUUUGAAGGGUGCAAUAUAAAAUAGAGAUUAUGUUAUGAAAAAAAAGUUGAAUUUAAAAUGAUGUAGGUUAAAUGCAUAGAUUGUGGAUAAAAAAGGGGUGUGAGGCUUAAUUUUUCCGUAGUGGUGGAAGAAAUGUGGAAAUAUAUGAUAUUACGUGUGGUUUGUCCCAUCUUGAAUGCAUAUUAUUGGAAAGAAAAAUGGUGGUUUGUGGUAGCGUGGUUGAGUCUAGUAACAUAAAGAUAUUCACUCCUGCACUGUUGACUAACUUUCUCUUUUCCUUCAUCCAUGCGUUUGUGGCCCAGUUCGCCUUUAGAGGCUCAACAAAGUUCCCAGAGAAUCGAUACUGAUGGAAGACAAUGGAACCAAAACAAAAAAAAAUUAAAGAGAGAAGAAAAACAAUGAUGAAAUGUCCUUUCAAUUGUGUAGUUUUAAUUAACCAAAGAUAUCCACUGAAAAAAGUCCUAAUCAGUCGUGUUUGAACGAAACUCUAAUCACUUUCGUCUAGCUUCCAUCAUUUUCAGCAUCACCCGUGUAAUUAAAGUUCAUUGUUAGUGCUUAUAUUAAUUUUCCCGUGAUUAUUUUCAAUAUAUAGUAAACUCAAUUCACACAUCACAAUACAUCAAACAGAUAGGAGAGUAAAGAGAGAUAAAACAAAACCUGAAGCUCCUCGUGUUCGAAUUUUGAUGGUCACCGUUUUCCCGGCAAAAUC
rnacentral:lncRNA from 1 species